AGGACGAACGCUUGCGACGUGCCUAAGAAAUGCAAGUCGAACGGAUCAGCAGCAAUGCUGGUUAGUGGCGAACGGUCGCGUAACACGUGGGCAACCUGCCCUGAAGCGGGGGACAACAACUCGAAAGAGUUGCUAAUACCGCAUGUGAAUCGCUGUGGCAUCACAGAGGAUUCAAAGCCGCAAGGCACUUCAGGAUGGGCCCGCGGCCUAUCAGCUUGUUGGUGAGGUAACGGCUCACCAAGGCUUCGACGGGUAGCUGGUCUGAGAGGACGAUCAGCCGGAUUGGGACUGAGAUACGGCCCAGACUCCUACGGGGGGCAGCAAUUAGGAAUCUUGCACAAUGGGCGAAAGCCUGAUGCAGCGACGUCGCGUGAAGGAUGAAAUCUUUCGGGAUGUAAACUUCUUUACCAGGGAAGAAAUAAAUGACGGUACCUGGUGAAUAAGCCCCGGCUAACUACGUGCCAGCAGCCGC
rnacentral:rRNA from 1 species